rnacentral:lncRNA from 1 species
UCUUUUUAUUACACACAACUAUGAAUUGCUUUAUUACAAUGUGAGAUUUCUUGUUUAAGUUGAUUAGUUUUGUUUUCUACUGUGAAAUGGCGUUUUCUUAAAUUAAAUUUGGUUACAAUGAUGUUGUUUAGGAUAAAAGUUAGUUGUAUAUCAUGUCACUUGUAUAAUUUGACAAAGUGAUUCACAAUUUUUUUUUUGAAAUCCAAAGAAUUACAAAGAGAGAUAGUUUGAUGAAGACAUACAACACUUGAGCCAAGUUAUUACAAAGACAACAACUCAAUCAGAUUCAAAAUUAAUAAAAUCUUAUGCUGAUAACAAAAAAAAAGACUUUAACUCAAGAACGUUAGCACAAACAGAGCUUUAUGGCAUUGAUUUUGAUAAGGCUUUAGUGAAGCUUAAUGAGCUCUCUUCAACUCUCUUACACAACUCUUCCACUUGAACAUUCAUGAAGAAAGCUGUAGUAGGCGGUUUGAUAAGGAGGCAUCCCGCGGGACGGCCCGCAAAGGCCUAUAUGUUAUGUGGUACGGGUUUAGGCCGGCAUUCUGAGGACCGCAGCCCGCGCGA